AAAAGCCUCUAAGCAUCAGGUAACAUCAAAUCGUACCCCAAACCGACACAGGUGGUCAGGUAGAGAAUACCAAGGCGCUUGAGAGAACUCGGGUGAAGGAACUAGGCAAAAUGGUGCCGUAACUUCGGGAGAAGGCACGCUGAUAUGUAGGUGAAGUCCCUCGCGGAUGGAGCUGAAAUCAGUCGAAGAUACCAGCUGGCUGCAACUGUUUAUUAAAAACACAGCACUGUGCAAACACGAAAGUGGACGUAUACGGUGUGACGCCUGCCCGGUGCCGGAAGGUUAAUUGAUGGGGUUAGCGGUAACGCGAAGCUCUUGAUCGAAGCCCCGGUAAACGGCGGCCGUAACUAUAACGGUCCUAAGGUAGCGAAAUUCCUUGUCGGGUAAGUUCCGACCUGCACGAAUGGCGUAAUGAUGGCCAGGCUGUCUCCACCCGAGACUCAGUGAAAUUGAACUCGCUGUGAAGAUGCAGUGUACCCGCGGCAAGACGGAAAGACCCCGUGAACCUUUACUAUAGCUUGACACUGAACAUUGAGCCUUGAUGUGUAGGAUAGGUGGGAGGCUUAGAAGUGUGGACGCCAGUCUGCAUGGAGCCGACCUUGAAAUACCACCCUUUAAUGUUUGAUGUUCUAACGUUGACCCGUAAUCCGGGUUGCGGACAGUGUCUGGUGGGUAGUUUGACUGGGGCGGUCUCCUCCUAAAGAGUAACGGAGGAGCACGAAGGUUGGCUAAUCCUGGUCGGACAUCAGGAGGUUAGUGCAAUGGCAUAAGCCAGCUUGACUGCGAGCGUGACGGCGCGAGCAGGUGCGAAAGCAGGUCAUAGUGAUCCGGUGGUUCUGAAUGGAAGGGCCAUCGCUCAACGGAUAAAAGGUACUCCGGGGAUAACAGGCUGAUACCGCCCAAGAGUUCAUAUCGACGGCGGUGUUUGGCACCUCGAUGUCGGCUCAUCACAUCCUGGGGCUGAAGUAGGUCCCAAGGGUAUGGCUGUUCGCCAUUUAAAGUGGUACGCGAGCUGGGUUUAGAACGUCGUGAGACAGUUCGGUCCCUAUCUGCCGUGGGCGCUGGAGAACUGAGGGGGGCUGCUCCUAGUACGAGAGGACCGGAGUGGACGCAUCACUGGUGUUCGGGUUGUCAUGCCAAUGGCACUGCCCGGUAGCUAAAUGCGGAAGAGAUAAGUGCUGAAAGCAUCUAAGCACGAAACUUGCC
rnacentral:rRNA from 1 species